GACGAACGCUGGCGGCGUGCUUAACACAUGCAAGUCGAACGGAAAGGCCCUGCUUGCAGGGUACUCGAGUGGCGAACGGGUGAGUAACACGUGGGUGAUCUGCCCUGCACUUCGGGAUAAGCCUGGGAAACUGGGUCUAAUACCGGACAGGAGCCAUUUUUAGUGUGAUGGUUGGAAAGUUUUUUCGGUGUAGGAUGAGCUCGCGGCCUAUCAGCUUGUUGGUGGGGUAAUGGCCUACCAAGGCGGCGACGGGUAGCCGGCCUGAGAGGGUGGACGGCCACAUUGGGACUGAGAUACGGCCCAGACUCCUACGGGAGGCAGCAGUGGGGAAUAUUGCACAAUGGGCGCAAGCCUGAUGCAGCGACGCCGCGUGGGGGAUGACGGCCUUCGGGUUGGAAACUCCUUUCGCUAGGGACGAAGCUUUUUGUGACGGUACCUAGAUAAGAAGCACCGGCUAACUACGUG
rnacentral:rRNA from 1 species